AUUAAAAAAUAAUAAAGCUGAUUUUAUUUAAAUGUAUUUAUUUCUUGUACAUAAUUUGUAAACUAAGUUUAACUAAGUCGACUAUAGACUUACAUUUAAUGCUGCCCAAGUACUUCUUAGUCUUAGACUUUCUCAAAUUUUAAAUCUUCAGCCAACUCAGAAAUCAUUUCAUUGAACUGCAAGGGGACACAACCCCCCCCCCCCCCCCUCC